rnacentral:rRNA from 1 species
AACGAACGCUGGCGGCAGGCCUAACACAUGCAAGUCGAGCGAGGACUUCGGUCCUAGCGGCGGACGGGUGAGUAACGCGUGGGAACGUGCCCUUUGCUUCGGAAUAGCCCUGGGAAACUGGGAGUAAUACCGGAUGAGCCCUUUGGGGGAAAGAUUUAUCGGCGAAGGAUCGGCCCGCGUUGGAUUAGGUAGUUGGGGGGGUAAUGGCCUACCAAGCCGACGAUCCAUAGCUGGUUUGAGAGGAUGAUCCGCCACACUGGGACUGAGACACGGCCCAGACUACUACGGGAGGCAGCAGUGGGUAAUCCUAGACAAUGGGGGAAACCCUGAUCGAGCCAUGCCGCGUGAGCGAUGAAGGCCUUAGGGUUGUAAAGCUCUUUCAGCUGGGAAGAUAAUGACGGUACCAGCAGAAGAAGCCCCGGCUAACUCCGUG